rnacentral:lncRNA from 1 species
UUUUUUUUUUGAAAAUUGGGGUCUAAAGUGUUUUUUUUGAAAUUUUUUUUGUAUUUAUAGGUUCCUUGCACGACGUCGUUUUGAGCUUAAGCUUCAGACGCCAAAAUGACGUAGUUUUGAAGCGUGACCCAAAAACCGACCCAACCCAUCCUAGGAUUAGCGUGUUUUCCAGCAAUGGUCUAUUUGCAACCCUGGUCCUUCCGCUUUU